rnacentral:rRNA from 1 species
CGAUUCCUACGGGAGGCAGCAGUAGGGAAUCUUCCACAAUGGACGAAAGUCUGAUGGAGCAACGCCGCGUGAGUGAAGAAGGGUUUCGGCUCGUAAAGCUCUGUUGGUAGUGAAGAAAGAUAGAGGUAGUAACUGGCCUUUAUUUGACGGUAAUUACUUAGAAAGUCACGGCUAACUACGUGCCAGCAGCCGCGGUAAUACGUAGGUGGCAAGCGUUGUCCGGAUUUAUUGGGCGUAAAGCGAGUGCAGGCGGGUCAAAUAGGCUGAUGGGAAAGACUUUCG